rnacentral:rRNA from 1 species
UACGGAGGGUGCAAGCGUUAUCCGGAUUCACUGGGUUUAAAGGGUGCGUAGGUGGGCAGGUAAGUCAGUGGUGAAAUCUCCGGGCUUAACCCGGAAACUGCCAUUGAUACUAUCUGUCUUGAAUACCGUGGAGGUGAGCGGAAUAUGUCAUGUAGCGGUGAAAUGCUUAGAUAUGACAUAGAACACCAAUUGCGAAGGCAGCUCACUACACGAAUAUUGACACUGAUGGACGAAAGCGUGGGGAUCAAACAGG